UGCUGAGUCAUGGAAUAAAUACGUCGCUCCACGCAAGCAGCAAGAAGAAUAAGGACAGUUUACAAGUGGAUACAACAAGAUGACCAUUAUUGUUAUCUUUGCGUAAAACGAGUUAUUUGUUGGGAGCUUCAAUUCACUAAAUUGCUUUCCAGCACUAGCUUGUCUUGAGAAUCUCCCAGCCACCAUGGUAGCAGUGCAAAGCUACUGUGAAGCCAGCGCUUCCAUCUCUGAAGCCUGGCUGGAGGGCGGCAUCUCGCCCUGCUUCUACUUCACCCUGGUGCCCACCGUCCUGCUUACCCUCUCCUUCUUCUUCGGCACCUUCCACUGCGUCUGCUACCGCCGCUACGGCACCGAGAUGGAGCCCAAGUUCGUUCCGCGCUCGCGCCUCUAUGACCUCCAACUGGCAGUCUCCCUGCUCCUCCUGCUGCAGUUCCUGGGGGGGCUGGUUUGGAGGGCGGCCGGAGGAGGGGAGCUCCCUGGCUACGUGGUGCUGUACGGCCUCCUUUCCAUGCUGGGCUGGGCCUGGGCCGUGGCCCUGUUAAGGCUGGAGAGGAGGAGGGUGCUGGUGAGGGACCGGACACGUGGCCACAGCACGGUGCUGCUGCUUUUCUGGGCUGUGGCAUUCUCAUCGGAGAACCUGGCCUUCGUCUCCUGGGCCAGCCCCUACUGGUGGUGGGGCCUGGAGAAAACACAGCAGCAGGUGGAAUUUUCUCUGUGGUUGAUGCGCUACGUCGGCACGGGCACACUCUUCUUCCUGGGCCUGAAGGCCCCGGGAUUACCACGGAGACCGUACAUGCUCCUGAUCAACGAGGACGAACGCGACGUGGAGGGCGGCACUGGCCAGCUCCUGUUGGAUGGGGCAGAGGAAUCCCAGUCUACCUGGCAUGACUUUGGGCAGAAGGUGCGUCUGCUGGUGCCCUACAUGUGGCCCAGAGGCAGCAUGCUGUUACAGGGCCUGGUGCUCCUCUGCCUGUGCCUGCUGGGUCUGGAGAGGGUCAUCAAUGUCUUUGUGCCCAUCUACUACAAGAACAUUGUGAAUGAGCUGACUGAUGGAAGCAGCUGGAAGACCUUGGCCACCACGGUGUGUGUCUACGUCUUGCUCAAGUUCCUGCAAGGUGGAGGGGCAGGUGCGUCCGGCUUCGUCAGUAACCUGCGCUCCUUCCUGUGGAUCCGCGUGCAGCAGUACACCAACCGGGUGGUGCAGGUGCGUCUGUUCAGCCACUUACACUCACUGUCUCUGCGCUGGCACCUGGGCCGACGCACCGGGGACGUCCUGCGAAGCAUUGACCGCGGCACCUCCUCCAUCAACAGCCUGCUCAGCUACAUUGUAUUCAGCAUCUUCCCCACCAUCGCAGAUAUCGUCAUCUCCAUCAUUUACUUCAUCACCUACUUCAACGCCUGGUUCGGACUCAUCGUAUUCGUCUGUAUGUUCCUCUACCUCACUCUUACCAUCAUCAUCACGGAAUGGAGGACCAAGUACAGGCGAGACAUGAACACCCAGGACAACAACGCAAAGUCCAAGGCGGUGGACUCCCUGCUCAACUUUGAGACGGUGAAGUACUACAACGCAGAGAAUUACGAGGUGAACCGUUUUGAGGACGCUAUUCUGAAGUAUCAGAUCUCAGAAUGGAAGACACAAGCCUCUCUGGCCUUCCUGAACCAGACACAGAACUUGAUCAUCGGUUCAGGCCUAUUGGCCGGGUCACUGCUGUGUGCCUACUUUGUCCAGGAGGGCAAGUUUAAGGUUGGAGACUUUGUCCUCUUCGGCACCUACAUCAUCCAGCUCUACACCCCUCUCAACUGGUUUGGAACCUACUACAGAAUGAUCCAGAGCUCCUUUAUUGACAUGGAGAGCAUGUUUAAGCUCUUUACAGAGGAAGAGGAGGUCAAGGAUGCGGUGAACGCAGGGAACCUUCUCUAUAAACUGGGAAAAGUGGAGUUUGAGAAUGUAUACUUUAACUACACUGACGGGAAGGAGAUCCUUAAGGAUGUAUCAUUUACUGUGCAGCCAGGCCAGACUGUUGCAUUGGUUGGCCAGUCAGGGUGUGGUAAGAGCACCAUCCUUCGCUUGCUCUUCCGUUUCUACGACGUCCAGGGAGGAUGCAUUCGCAUCGAUGGCCAGGACAUCUCUAAGGUGAAGCAGGUGUCUCUGCGUGCCCACAUCGGCGUGGUGCCCCAGGACACGGUCCUCUUCAACGACAACAUCCGCAACAACAUCCGCUACGGACGCAUCUCUGCCAGCGACCACGAAGUGGAGGAGGCGGCGAUCGCCGCGGACAUUCACGAGAAGAUCCAGACGUUCCCAGAAGGAUUUGACACCCAGGUGGGCGAGAGAGGUCUGAAGCUGAGCGGGGGGGAGAAGCAGAGGGUGGCUAUCGCCCGCACCAUCCUCAAGGCCCCUCAGAUCAUCCUGCUGGAUGAGGUAAACUUUCGGGAAGGUCCAACCAGAGGCUCAAUGACCCUGUUCAGAUAGGUAUAGGGUGAAGAUGAUCUUGGGUCAGUUGCAUUUUUUCUUCUUCUAUUUUUGGUUAGGUUUAGGAUUGUGUAGGGGAAGCUGGUCCUAGAUCUUUACCAAGGUGAAACUUCACCCGGAGCGUUCAAAUACUUAAAAAACACGCACUUCCUCCCUCCUCUCCUUGAAGUUAUCGCUGAGCUUACACAAAUUGAUAGGAGGGUUGCAAAGGGUAAUAAACUUUCUGGUAAAUAUCUGGAAUUUUUCCAUGGGAAUUUUGCUUAAAUUCAUUAAUAAAAGUUAGCUUAUAACAGUGAACCUUUUUUUGUGGGAUACACAUAAGGCAACUCUAGGUAUUGUGGCAUAUUAUGGUUAAAUUAUUCCCAAUUCAAUGCAAUUGCAACUCUCUGCAUGCACAGUGCAUUCUUCCAUCACAUGUACAGCUGAUUCUCAAGAUCUUGCACACUAAUGAGAUGCUAUUGAGUCCACACUACUACACUGUCUAAGCCAAGGACUACAUGCUUUCUGGUAAGUUUUGAUUACAAUACUGGGUGGGGUGAAUAUAUUUUAUAUGACAUACAUGAUUUUUUGUUAACUAGUAAAUAGUAGCCGACGGCAAAGUGUGUAUAAAUCAUUUCUAAGUUAACAAUAUCUGCUAGUUAGCUUUUGCUACCAUGUGGGUUUUAGCUUGCUUGAGCCUGCUAUCUGAGGAGUGUUAAUUCACCUGUUCCCAAACAUGUUUCAUUUAAAAAAAAUGUAUCUUACAAAGGAGUUGUUUAAUCUAACUGCUUAACUAUUUAUCUGUACAUGGAAUUGUAUUUUUUUUUUUUUUUUACUCAUAUUUUUUCUAGUCUUUACAGGAAAAUGCCACGGGCACUAUCUGAUGUGUGGAGACAUUUCACUGCAGCUAAUGUAGAAGGAGAAGCUGUGUACAUUUGCAAAUACUGUGCCAAAUCAUAUGUGAAGAGUGCAACAAAGAUGCAGAAUAAUCUGGCCAAGUGCAUAAAGUUCCCUCAGCGCUCACAACAAGCAGCCUCUGACAAAAGUCCCUCUACUUCUAUUUGAGGCCACAUCUGCUCUCGACACACAGACGGAGCGCAACAUUCAGGCGUCGCUCACCAAAGUGUGCUCCAAUCGGACCACCAUCGUCGUGGCUCACAGGU